UGUGCCCCACCACAGCCUUGCAGCCCACAGUUCCUUUUAAGGUGCACAAAUUCGUGCACUUGGCCCCUAGUAUCACAAUGAAACUGCAGAAAACAAAGCCAGAGAGAAAAAUAUGGAAAUCUGCUAAAGAAUAAAAGACAUUACCUUCAAAGAAGCAACAUUAAGAAUUCCAGCUGACUAUGGAUAUUAGAAAAACAAUGGAAUGAUAUUUAAAAAGAAAGGGGGAAAAAAGUCUUUACCAACCUAGAAAUCCAUCCCCAGCAAAAAUAUACUUCAAACAUUAAUAUGAAAUGAAGAUGUUUCAGACAAACAAAAGCUGAAAGAAUUCAUUGCCAGCAGACCUAUACUAUAUAUAAAAUAUACUAAAAAAUUUUUAAAUGAAGAAAAAUAACCUUAAACAAAAGCAUGGAAUUACAGGAAAGAAUAUAGAGCACUGAAAAGUAUGAAUAUAUUGAUCUAGAAUAUAUUCUGGAAUAAAAGCAGUCUUUUAGAAAUUAUUAAAUUUCAUUCCUGUGGUACAUAGUUCUAGAAAAAAAAUAAAAAAACAGAACACUGUCCUUGAAAAAAAAACCUAACAUGGAAAAAAAGAUGCUAUUUUAACAUUCUUUGAGCUAGGGACUACUGCUAAAUGCUAGGGAUACAAGCCUGAAUAAGACAGAAGUCCUUGCUCCUCAAAGAGCUCAUAGUCUACUAAUAGCAACAAACUAGCUUCCCACCCCCCCCACCCCCACAUCUACUAAAGGCAAAAUAAGAGACGUGUUUUUAGUCCAAAGUAAUAUCACAUAUACUGUAUAUAUGUACAGUGCAUGUUUGGUUUAUAUGUAUUCUCUCUCACAUGAACACACACAUGUAAAAUCUGAUCUUUGUGAAUACUUUGAGAGCUAGGUAAGAUAUACAUUCUCUAUAAUAUAAUUUUACAGAUUAAAAAAACCGAGGUCGGUGAGGUUAAGCAAUGACCUUAUAACUAAUACAAAGCUACUCCAUCAUGAUUUGGAACAAAAGACGUUUUUUUGUUUGUUUGUUUUUCUCCAGCUAAGUAUUAUACUUUACUUCAACUAGAAGAUGGUUAACUAAGGCUCUAAUGUAUUUGGAAAUAAUGUAUUCUUAAUGAAUGAAAAUGGACAACUUGUUUUCUUUUAUAAACUAAGUCUAUCUACCAAGACCACUGGAUAUUCAGUAUGUCAAGACAGUGCUGCUUUAAGCACAAUAUUAUAUCUACUUUGAACUUUGAUAUAUAAGACUUUCAUUUUAUGUGUACACUAGCCACAUCAUUAUAAAUGUAUGAUAAAUUAUACAUGUAUUGUUUAUAUAUAGUCUAUACAUGUAUAGUAUAUAUAAUAGUAUAGAGAGAUAUAUAAAAUUCACAGUGAAUGAACUGUUGAACAUCACUCCCGUACACUAUUCAUGUCCCCUGUGAAGCCAGAAGCAAUACCAAUGGUAUUAGUUGUGGAUGUAGUUCUCUCUUCCUAUUUUCCCUUCCACUUGGCUGGAAGGAUUGGUGCCAGGCCACUUGGAGCGAAGACUCUCUCACCAGCUCUAGUACAUAUAUCCUAUUUUGAGCUUUUUUUUUUGUCUAGGCUCUUAAGAGUUGAGGAAUGGAGUCCUGGCCAGUGUGCUCAGUGGAUUGGAGUACCAUCCUGUACACCAAAAGAAUUCACGGCGAGGCCCUCAGUAGACAGAGAAGUGCAGACGGAAUUGGAACCUCCUGCUUCAGCGAGAUCAUGUUUCUCCAGUAUCACCUCAAUGAACAGGGAGACCGGGUCUAUACCCUGAAGAAGUUUGAUCCUAUUGGACAACAGACCUGCUCGGCCCAUCCGGCUCGGUUCUCCCCAGAC